GAACUGAAAAUGAGAACUUUUCUGUUGAUAGAAGUACGCACACGCGCAUGUACAAAAUCACACAUACGUAUAGUUCAAAACUUCCCGAGCGCGGCGUGCCGACCGUACUUGAAACGCGAGUGAAAUGUAAAUAAAUAAUGAUUGAACAAUUAAUAGUUUGUGAAUUAAGGCCAGGAUGUUAAAAUUAAAAAUCGCUGUAUAAAAGAGAAAAUUUCCAAUAAGUGUGGUUUCAAGUGUAUACAAGACUUUCAGACAAGUACUUAAUUGGGAGUUCAGGAGAAGUACCAGUUCCUCCUCGUCAUAUUCUACUUGAAGUUUAUUUUUGUGAAGUUCGUCCAGAUACUGUAACUAGACUCGGAGGCCAUGUCAAAGCAGUAUUAGAUGAAAACCGUCAGUACAUAAUUGGAGUAAAACAAUUUAGACGACUUUGCCCAUUAUUGAUUCAACCAGAACCAAUGGAAUUUAAACAUGUUAAAGUACGCCUAGAUGGAGGCCCAGUUGCCAAUGUUACUGAAGAAAUACCGGAAGGUGAUCCUCUGAAGAACAAGUUCUGGAAGAAACCUAAACAAUUACCCUUGAUCAAUGCCGAGAUACCAAUUCUUUAA